GGAGAGGUGGAUGAGUGGUUUAAGUCACACGCCUGGAAAGCGUGCGUACGGUGAAAGCCGUACCGCGGGUUCGAAUCCCGCCCUCUCCGCCA
rnacentral:tRNA from 2 species